AGGAUUAACGCUGGCGGCGUGCAUGAAACAUGCAAGUCGAGCGCGGUGUGAUGCGGGGUAACCCAAUUCACAUCUAGCGGCGAACGGGUGAGUAACACGUGAGCAACCUACCUUUGAGUUGGGGAUAGCCCUGGGAAACCAGGAUUAAUACCCGAUGUGGUCACAACAGGACAUCCUGAUGUGAGUAAAGGCGUAAGCCGCUCAAUGACGGGCUCGCGGCCUAUUAGCUUGUUGGUGGGGUAACGGCCUACCAAGGCAACGAUGGGUAGCUGGUCUGAGAGGAUGAUCAGCCACAUUGGGACUGAGACACGGCCCAAACUCCUACGGGAGGCAGCAGUGGGGAAUAUUGGACAAUGGGCGCAAGCCUGAUCCAGCCAUGCCGCGUGAGUGAUGACGGCCUUAGGGUUGUAAAGCUCUUUCGCUAGGGACGAUAAUGACGGUACCUAGACAAGAAGCCCGGCUAACUUCGUGCCAGCAGCCG
rnacentral:rRNA from 1 species